AUGCCCCUGUGGGCAGCAAGCUCCUUCCUGUCCCCUCCGAGCCUGGCUUCUGGGCUCAGCGGGUCAGCACUUUCUACAAAGUCCACACGCAGCACACAGAGCCCGGCUAGGCAGUACGUGGCACGCCUCCGGGGGAGCAAGCCGCCAGGACCCGCCGCAUGCCAGGGGCACGACCAUUUCCCUGGUGCACACUCCCCGCCAUGCUGCCCGCCCUCCUUGAGACCCCUGCGCCUGGAUCUCCUCCCUCUGCCCGCCUUCCUGUCUCCUCCUGAUGUCCCCAGUUCCCAGCGGGGAGCGCGGCGGCCAAGGCACCCUGCCCUCCCCACCCGGCCGCCCUUGCUUCCUCCUUCAGCCAGCUACACUCCCGCUGCAGACAGAGGUGAAAGACCCCCCGGAGGAGGGCGUCCCAGACCUGCUUGGAACCUGGUAGAUGGCCACGGCCCCACGAGACUGGAUCCGGACUAUGGCAGCACAUCCCUUGGGAUGGAAAACCCUGUCCAAACAUGGCCGCAUGCCGGUCUCCAUCAGUCCAUCCUUGACCAUCUCCCCAAGACUCGAAGACCCACAGUGGCCGCUCCCACACCGGCCGGCUGGGAAAAGGCCCACGGUGGAGGGUGCACGCCGGGGCAGCCAGGGAUUGGUCACUGCCUGAAUGUCCCCGGACGGAUGCCCGUGUGCCCUUGGGCAGCCUUCCCCCCGGACAGGCUGUCCAGGCCGGGGAAACCCUAAGCCAAAGGGAUUAAGAAGAAAGGACAGAAUCGGCCGUUCCUUUGGCCGUGCUCAUUUGUGCCUCAUUUAGUGUAUAUUUGUUCAGUGGGUAAAAACACGGAGGUGAUGACGCCAAGGUCGGGAUGUGCUCCCAUCACUCAGGUCAGCCGCACGGAGGCCCGCCCCGCCCGCCCGCCUGCCCUGCCAGCCUGCCUCUCCCCAGCAGCCAUCUUGCACAUUCCUGUGGUCAGCCGGGAGGGCCACGGGAUCCUUCCCCAGCUCUGGGGUGACCGGAUGGGGAUGCGAGUGCAACCCUCUGCUCAGGCGCUGGAACCGGCCCGGGGCCCCUGACCCAAGUCCUGAGCAUCCUCCCUGCAGGCCCCUGUCCCAGAUGGAGCUGGAACCUCCAGCCUCGCUAGUCUCUGAGCUAGGGGUCCAACCCUGGAUGGCCAC
rnacentral:lncRNA from 1 species